rnacentral:rRNA from 1 species
UACAGAGGGGGCAAGCGUUAUUCGGAAUUAUUGGGCGUAAAGGGCGCGUAGGUGGCUUGGCAAGUGGAAGGUGAAAUCCCUCGGCUCAACUGAGGAACUGCCUUCCAGACUGCUUUGCUUGAGGCCGGGAGAGGCGAGUGGAAUUCCCAGUGUAACGGUGAAAUGCGUAGAUAUUGGGAGGAACACCAGUGGCGAAGGCGACUCGCUGGACCGGUUCUGACGCUGAGGCGCGAAAGCGUGGGGAGCGAACAGG